GUAGCGUGAAGGAUGACUGCCCUAUGGGUUGUAAACUUCUUUUAUAAAGGAAUAAAGUCGGGUAUGCAUACCCGUUUGCAUGUACUUUAUGAAUAAGGAUCGGCUAACUCCGUGCCAGCAGCCGCGGUAAUACGGAGGAUCCGAGCGUUAUCCGGAUUUAUUGGGUUUAAAGGGAGCGUAGAUGGAUGUUUAAGUCAGUUGUGAAAGUUUGCGGCUCAACCGUAAAAUUGCAGUUGAUACUGGAUGUCUUGAGUGCAGUUGAGGCAGGCGGAAUUCGUGGUGUAGCGGUGAAAUGCUUAGAUAUCACGAAGAACUCCGAUUGCGAAGGCAGCCUGCUAAGCUGCAACUGACAUUGAGGCUCGAAAGUGUGGGUAUCAAACAGGAUUAGAUACCCUGGUAGUCCACACGGUAAACGAUGAAUACUCGCUGUUUGCGAUAUACGGCAAGCGGCCAAGCGAAAGCGUUAAGUAUUCCACCUGGGGAGUACG
rnacentral:rRNA from 1 species